UAAGAUAUAAUGCAAUUUUCAAUGGUUUAUUGCUUGUUUAUCAAAGUUAUAUUAAUAAACACAAUCUCAUGCGCCUUUUUGCUUUCCCCCUGAAGUCCAGGCUCAUUUAUUUUGCCUUUUAUGGAGGUUUGUUGAGGAACCACGUGGUCCCUGAGGCAGGAAUGACUAUGGCCUGGUGUGAUCUGCUCUUCAUUAGCCAUUCAGAGCAGCCAUGAUGGCUGACUAGCAAGGAGUCCUUGAGUCUGUCCGACCUGAUGUUGAUGAACUCUUCACUCUGCAUCAUGGAGGUUGAACAUCCUGGUGCGUCAACCCAGUCCUGAUCCUCUGGUGUGAAUAAGGCAAGU